rfam:Vitis vinifera, whole genome shotgun sequence of line PN40024, unoriented chromosome 19, chr19
CAUCCCUAUGAAGAAUGACUGAAAGUAGUGGCCUGACAUCUGUUGAUGAAUAACACUCAGUUCUGAGGGAUG